UUAUAACUCCACCUCAGGAAAUGACAUCAGCAAAGUGUAAAUGAACAAUUUCAGAAAUAGUUGCAAAACUGUGUGAGGAGGAGAACAAGAAAUUUCAUAAAGCAUUUGCUGAAUUUCCUCUUACAGGAGUGAAAGAUGUUCACAAUCACGUCGGCUGUUAUCCUCUUUCUGAUUUAUAGUGUGGAAGGUUUGACAUUAGAACAAAGUAAGAAGGUCUGGGUAAAGUCAACUGGGAAAUCAGUGUCCUUUAUAUGCAAAGUAACUGGUCUGAACAGUGGUAAUUAUGUCCACUGGUACCACAAGAAAGAUGGAGGCACACUUAAAAGAUUUCUCUACAUCAGUGAAUCUGGGUCUCCCACCAUUGAAGCAAAAGAAUUUGCAGCUGAGAAAAAUGGAAAUUCAUAUGAAAUAAAAAUUAAUGGAAUAAAGAAGGAACAUGCCGGUGUUUAUUACUGUGCAAGCUGGGAUGCCAGCCACAGUGACACAAAACUAAUACAUCAGAUACAAAAACCUUAAGUGAAACUAACAGUAAGCCAGAAUCAAACAAGAGAUAAUGUCUGAGCAAAACUACCACAAACAGUUUAAUGUAACAGAUGGUUACUGAACAAAAUAUGUAAUUCACCCAGAAGCCUGUUUUCAAAAAGCAAAGUGAAAACAGGAUUAGGUCGAUGGUCCUGAAAUGUUGUGGAAAUAUGACAAUAAAUACUGUAAAUACUGCAAAAGCAUCUCGAGAUUAUGUUUAAAAGAACUAAAGUAGCAAAUGUGUUCAUCACAGAUCCAAAAUUAUUUAAUUCUAUAUACAAUCAAUAUUUUGAGCUUUACAUCAGGGUCAUUAUCCAUCCAUCCAUCCAUCCAGUACAAUCAAUCAGUCAGUCAAGCAAGUCUUUGAGUGGAAACAACCCAGCGGUUGAGAUAUGGUUUAUGUCACACAGAUCAUAUACAAAGUGUUAACAUUAAGCAUUACAUUUGUGCAAAUAAUAUCACCUACAUAAAGAAAAUGCAUUGGCAUUUAUUAUACAGUAACUCCGCCUCAGGAAAUUACAUCAGAAAAGUAUAAAUGAACAAUUUGCAUACUGUGCAAAACAGCGUAAGGAGGAGUACAAGACUUUUUAUAAAGCAUACUGUGUAUCCUCUUACAUAACUAAAUAUGCUCAUAUUCGCAUACACUGUUAUCCUCUUGAUGAUUUAUGGUGUGGACAGUGUGACAAUAAAACAAAACCAGAAGAUCUGGAUAAAACCAAUACGGAAAACAGUGUUCUUUAAAUGUGAGGUAACUGGUCUGGGCGCCAGUAAUUAUGUCC